GACGAACGCUGGCGGCGUGCUUAACACAUGCAAGUCGAACGAUGAAGCCGGAGCUUGCUCCGGUGGAUUAGUGGCGAACGUGUGAGUAACACGUGAGCAAUCUGCCCUUGACUCUGGGAUAACUGCGGGAAACUGUAGCUAAUACCGGAUACGACACCUUGGGGCAUCCCAGGGUGUGGAAAGAAUUUCGGUCAAGGAUGAGCUCGCGGCCUAUCAGCUAGUUGGUGAGGUAAUGGCUCACCAAGGCGACGACGGGUAGCCGGCCUGCGAGGGUGACCCGCCACACUGGAACGGAGACACCGGCCAGACACCUACGGGAGGCAGCUGUGGGGAAUAUUGCACAAUGGGCGAAAGCCUGAUGCAACAACGCCGCGUGAGGGAUGAAGGCCCUCGGGUUGUAAACCUCUUUUCGCAGGGAAGAAGCUAAAGUGACGGUACCUGCAGAAAAAGCACCGGCUAACUACGUGCCAGCCGCCGCCGUAA
rnacentral:rRNA from 1 species